rnacentral:rRNA from 1 species
CGUGCUUAACACAUGCAAGUCGAACGGAAAGGCCCUGCUUUUGUGGGGUGCUCGAGUGGCGAACGGGUGAGUAACACGUGAGUAACCUGCCCUUGACUUUGGGAUAACUUCAGGAAACUGGGGCUAAUACCGGAUAGGAGCUCCUGCUGCAUGGUGGGGGUUGGAAAGUUUCGGCGGUUGGGGAUGGACUCGCGGCUUAUCAGCUUGUUGGUGGGGUAGUGGCUUACCAAGGCUUUGACGGGUAGCCGGCCUGAGAGGGUGACCGGCCACAUUGGGACUGAGAUACGGCCCAGACUCCUACGGGAGGCAGCAGUGGGGAAUAUUGCACAAUGGGCGGAAGCCUGAUGCAGCAACGCCGCGUGCGGGAUGACGGCCUUCGGGUUGUAAACCGCUUUCGCCUGUGACGAAGCGAGAGUGACGGUAAUGGGUAAAGAAGCACCGGCUAACUACGUGCCAGCAGCCGCGGUGAUACGUAGGGUGCGAGCGUUGUCCGGAUUUAUUGGGCGUAAAGGGCUCGUAGGUGGUUGAUCGCGUCGGAAGUGUAAUCUUGGGGCUUAACCCUGAGCGUGCUUUCGAUACGGGUUGACUUGAGGAAGGUAGGGGAGAAUGGAAUUCCUGGUGGAGCGGUGGAAUGCGCAGAUAUCAGGAGGAACACCAGUGGCGAAGGCGGUUCUCUGGGCCUUUCCUGACGCUGAGGAGCGAAAGCGUGGGGAGCGAGCAGGCUUAGAUACCCUGGUAGUCCACGCUGUAAACGGUGGGUACUAGGUGUGGGGUCCAUUCCACGGGUUCCGUGCCGUAGCUAACGCUUUAAGUACCCCGCCUGGGGAGUACGGCCGCAAGGCUAAAACUCAAAGGAAUUGACGGGGCCCCGCACAAGCGGCGGAGCAUGCGGAUUAAUUCGAUGCAACGCGUAGAACCUUACCUGGGUUUGACAUGGAUCGGGAGUGCUCAGAGAUGGGUGUGCCUCUUUUGGGGUCGGUUCACAGGUGGUGCAUGGCUGUCGUCAGCUCGUGUCGUGAGAUGUUGGGUUAAGUCCCGCAACGAGCGCAACCCUUGUUCACUGUUGCCAGCACGUUAUGGUGGGGACUCAGUGGAGACCGCCGGGGUCAACUCGGAGGAAGGUGGGGGUGACGUCAAGUCAUCAUGCCCCUUAUGUCCAGGGCUUCACGCAUGCUACAAUGGCUGGUACAGAGAGUGGCGAGCCUGUGAGGGUGAGCGAAUCUCGGAAAGCCGGUCUCAGUUCGGAUUGGGGUCUGCAACUCGACCUCAUGAAGUCGGAGUCGCUAGUAAUCGCAGAUCAGCAACGCUGCGGUGAAUACGUUCCCGGGGCUUGUACACACCGCCCGUCAAGUCAUGAAAGUUGGUAACACCCGAAGCCGGUGGCCUAACCGUUGUGGGGGAGCCGUCGAAGGUGGGACUGGUGAUUAGGA